GGGGUUGUGGCUCAGUGGUAGAGUACUCGCCUCACACGUGUGAGACCUUGGGUUUGAUCCUCAGCACCACA
rnacentral:tRNA from 1 species